ensembl:lncRNA
CACAUAUAUCAGGCUGAGGUUUGUGGAACCAAAAACAAGGAGAAGGGUCCAGCUGCAGGCUUGGGCGUUCCCGUCAUGACACAAAAACGCCCAUCGGGCGUUCCCGUCAUGACACAAAAACGCCCAUCAGGCGUUCCUGUAGCGUUUCAUCGAUCAAUCAAGAAGAGGUGAGUGAGUUUCUCAAGGCAUGCUGGGUAUGCUACCCUUCCUUUUUUGGCGGUUUUACCUCGUAGUAACUUUCCAGAAAAACGAAAGGGUUAUGAUGAGAGAUUAUGUCAUACCCUGGCACAUGCUUUGUCCAAUGGACCAUGGAAGGGACUUUACUUGGCUGACGAGUACGCAAUGUAUUCUACCCUCAAAAGCAAUAUGAUUUCAGUGAGGGGGACAUGCUCUCUAUCAGGAGGUGGUGGUUG